AUCGAUUUUGGGGAUGAUGGUCCCAACCGUUUAGGAAUUAAGGGCCCAGAAGGGGCCCAAAACAAGCAUUUUAUAGUUUAAGGAUAAUAACUUGUGUAUAAGUAUUUCAAUUGCUCUGAUAUUGUAUCACAAUGUUUAAAACCACACGUAGAAGGUUUGGAUUCAUUUAAAUGGGUCAUGGGUUCAAAGUUAGGAAUUAAGGGCCAAAAAGGGGCCAACAAACAAGCAUUUUUCUAGUUUCAAGACAAUAACUUGUGUGUAAUUGUAUGGAUCUCUCUCAAAUUGUACCACAAUGCUCCAUAUAACAAAGGGGAGGCUGGGAUUUAGUUUUGGAUUAAUUGUCCAAAAUAUGUAGGAAUAAGGGGCCAAAAAAGGGCCAAAAAGAAGCAUGUUUCUAGUUUCCAAAGAAUAACUUGGGUUUAAUUUAAGUAUAUGGAUCUCUCUGUAAUUGUACUACAAGGUUCUAUACUUAAAAGGAAAGGAUGGGAUUGUGUUUAAGGGUUAUUCCUUAAAGGGGUUUC
rnacentral:lncRNA from 1 species